GGGCGUCCGUCCGUCUGUCCGUCCGUCCAGGCGUCUGUCUGUCCGUCCUUCUGCCCAUCCAGAGUGCCACGGCUGCCCACGUGUUGCUGAGUGCUGCUUCCCUGGCGGUGCCAUCGGGACCCAACUGGCGCUACGAAGAAGGCAUCAGCGGAGUCUUCCUCAGCGGCGACGUUCAGGCGACACCCGAAGGACUGCGGGUGGCAUCCGGGGGUCUCUACCUCCUCUAUGGCCAAUUUGCCGUCACCUGCACGGCCACCUCCUGUCCCCCCGGCAAUGUCACCCUCCAACUGCACCGCGCCGGCUCUUCUCAUCCCCUGUUGGCCGUACCGUUGGCGUUACCCGACGGCAGCGGAUCCGGCCCCACUCGCUCCGGUUUGGCUCAAGCAGUGGGGCAGCUGAGGCCGGGGGACGUCCUCAGCUUUAGGAUGGUUGGGGACGUCCAAGGGGACGAGUGGCAGAUGGCGCAGGACGAGAGGGAGGGGAACUUCGUGGGGCUGCUGCGCAUCGCCGGCGGGGGGUGACGCGUGGGGGGGGUCCCCCGAAGUCGUGGAGGUGGAGUGCAAAACGGGGCGGGGGGGGGACCAGAAGGGAUUGGGGUGGGCGCCCCCCUGGUUGGGGGUUUGGAGAGGUACCCCCCCCCGGUGGAGGUUUGGAGACGACCCCCCCUGGUUGGGGGUUUGGAGACGUCCCCACCCCCCCGGUUGGAGGUUUGGAGUCGUCGUCGUCCCCCCCCCCCCCUGGUUGGAGGUUUGGAGACGUCUCCCCCCUGGUUGGGGGUUUGGAGACAUCCCCCCCCUCCCCAUGGUUGGGGGUUUGGAGACGUCCCCCCCCCUGGUUGGGGGUUUGGAGACAUCCCCCCCCUCCCCAUGGUUGGAGGUUUGGAGAUGUAUCCCCCCCCGGUGGAAGUUUGGAGACGACCCCCCCUGGUUGGGGGUUUGGAGACGUCCCCACCCCCCCGGUUGGAGGUUUGGAGAUGUCCCCCCCCUCCCCAUGGUUGGGGGUUUGGAGAUGUACCCCCACCUGGUUGGGGGUUUGGAGACGUCCCCCCCCCCCUGGUUGGAGGUUUGGAGACGUCCCCCCCCCCAUGGUUGGGGGUUUGGAGAUGUACCCCCCCCUGGUUGGAGGUUUGGAGAUGUACCCCCUCCCCACAGUUGGAGGUUUGGAGACGUCCCCCCCCCCCAUGGUUGGGGGUUUGGAGAUGUACCCCCCCCUGGUUGGAGGUUUGGAGACGUCAAGGGAUGCUGCUGACCUCAAUGGCUGGAGAUAUAUGGAUCCAAAGCGCAAAGAUUUGGGGACAUUGGGGGGCGCUGCUGCCCUUUAUGCGCGGAGAUCCGGGUCCCAACACCCCCCAUGUCCCAAGAUUUGGGGACGUCCGGGGACGUCGCUGACCUCCGUGUUUGGAGAUGGGGGUCCCGAGACCCCCAACGUGUGGAGAUGUGGGGGACGUCGUUGACCUCCGCGUCCAUUUGGGGACAUCAGGGGACGUCGUUGACCUCCAUGCCUGGAAAUCGGAAUCCCGCAAUCCCAAUGCCCAAAGAUUUGGGAUCGGGGGACGCUGUUGACCUCUAUGGCCGAAGACCUGAAGGUGUGGGGACAUCGGUGACCUCUACGCCCAGAGAUUUGGGGACGUCGAGGGGGACAUUGCAGCCCCCCCCCCCCCCCCCCCCCCCCCCCCCCACGCUCACGAUUUGGUGCUGGAGCCCCCCCAUGGCUCAGAGAUUUGGGGACACUGAGGAACCUCGCAGACCGCCCCUGUGUUGGAUAUUGGGGACAUCACAGGUUCCCAUUUUGGGGACGUCGGGGACAUCACGGAACCCCCCCCCCCCCCUCCCCAGUCAAAGACUAUGGAACCCCCCCCCAUGCUUGGAGGCAUUGGGGGGGUCCCCGCUGACCCCUCCCCCCAGCUGGUCUGGGGGGGUCCCCCCUCCCCCCUAAGUUAUUGUCUGGUGCUCAGAGCCACUUUAUUUAUUAAUCAGUACAUUUAUUUAUGGUUCUCCGUUCUCCGAAGUGGGCUGAUUUCCCCCCUUCCCCCCCCCCCAAAAAAGGGGGAAUUCCUUGGGGGGGGUCUCCGUGCUCCCUUCGCUGUGAGGACAGCAUGGGGACAAUUUGGGGACAGCGUGGGGACAAUGUGGGGACAACAUGGGGAUAGCAUGGGGACAGCAUGGGGACAAGUUGGGGACAGCUUGGGGACAAUGUAGGGACAACAUGUGAGCAGCCUGGGGACAGCAUGGGGAUAAUGUGGGGACAACAUGGGGACAAUGUGGGGACAACAUGUAGGCAGCUUGGGGACAGCUUGGGGACACUGUGGGGACAGCAUGGGGACAACAUGGGGACAGCUUGGGGACAACAUGGGGACAAUUUGGGGACAACUUGGGGACAAUAUGGGGACAGCGUAGGGACAACAUGGGGAUAGCAUGGAGACAGCAUGGGGACAAGUUGGGGACAGCAUGGGGAUAAUUUGGGGACAGCGUGGGGACAAUGUGGGGACAGCGUAGGGACAACAUGGGGACAGCAUGGGGACAACAUGGGGACAAGUUGGGGACAGCAUGUGGGCAGCUUGGGGACAGCGUGGGGACAAUGUGGGGACAACUGUUGGGCCACCUGGGGGCAGCACGGGGCCAAUUUGGGGACAGUUCGGGGCCAAUUUGGGGACAGCAUGGGGACAAUGUGGGGACAGCUGGCGGGCCAUAGGGGCGCAGCGCGCAGCCGGCGCUCGGGUGGCGGCCCGGCAGCACACGCGCGUGC
ensembl:lncRNA